rnacentral:rRNA from 1 species
CGAACGCUGGCGGCGUGCUUAACACAUGCAAGUCGAACGGAAAGGCCCUGCUUUUGUGGGGUGCUCGAGUGGCGAACGGGUGAGUAACACGUGAGUAACUUGCCCUUGACUUUGGGAUAACUUCAGGAAACUGGGGCUAAUACCGGAUAGGAGCUCCUGCUGCAUGGUGGGGGUUGGAAAGUUUCGGCGGUUGGGGAUGGACUCGCGGCUUAUCAGCUUGUUGGUGGGGUAGUGGCUUACCAAGGCUUUGACGGGUAGCCGGCCUGAGAGGGUGACCGGCCACAUUGGGACUGAGAUACGGCCCAGACUCCUACGGGAGGCAGCAGUGGGGAAUAUUGCACAAUGGGCGGAAGCCUGAUGCAGCAACGCCGCGUGCGGGAUGACGGCCUUCGGGUUGUAAACCGCUUUCGCCUGUGACGAAGCGUGAGUGACGGUAAUGGGUAAAGAAGCACCGGCUAACUACGUG